UACGUAUGGGGCAAGCGUUGUUCGGAAUUAUUGGGCGUAAAGGGCACGCAGGCGGACUGUUAAGUUGGAUGUUUAAUCUUCAGGCUCAACCUGAAGUCUGCAUCCAAUACUGACAGUCUUGAGUUUUGGAGAGGAAAGCGGAAUUCUCGGUGUAGCGGUGGAAUGCGUAGAUAUCGAGAGGAACACCAAUGGCGAAGGCAGCUUUCUGGCCAAAAACUGACGCUCAUGUGCGAAAGCGUGGGGAGCAAACAGG
rnacentral:rRNA from 1 species